UGAGAAUAAGCCAUGCGAGUCGAAUGGGAUACCUAAAUUUCCCAUGGCAGACUGCUCAGUAACACAUGAUCAACUUACCCUAUGGAAAAAAAUAACCUCGGGAAACUGAGGAUAAUGUUUUAUAGUUGAAAAGGCUUGGAAAAGUUUUUCAAUGAAAGGGAUAAGGAAAAUGGUUCUUAUUUGCCAUAGGAUAGGAUCGUGGUCGAUUGUGGUAGUUGGUGAGGUAACGGCUCACCAAGCCGAUAAUCGAUAGGGGCCGUGAGAGCGGGAGCCCCGAGAUGGGUACUGAGACAACGACCCAGGCCUUACGAGGCGCAGCAGGCGCGAGACCUCCGCAAUACACGAAAGUGUGACGGGGUUACCCAAAGUGUUCAUAAUUGAACUGUGGUAGGUGAGUAAUGUCCCCUACUACAAAGGAGAGGGCAAGGCUGGUGCCAGCCGCCGCGGUAAAACCAGCUCUUCAAGUGGUCGGGAUAAUUAUUGGGCUUAAAGUGUCCGUAGCCGGUUUAGUAAGUUCCUGGUAAAAUCGGGUAGCUUAACUAUCUGUAUGCUAGGAAUACUGCUAUACUAGAG
rnacentral:rRNA from 1 species